UAAAAGUAGUUCCCAGAAGUAUUUGGCAGAC
rnacentral:piRNA from 1 species